GGCUUUCAAACAUUAUUUUUAAUCUUUCUGAACUUACAUUGAAUUUGUUAAUAAGAGAUUUUGAUUGGUUAAUUUCUUCACUUAAGUUUUGAUUUUCUUUAAUUAAACUCUGAUUUUUUUGAAUCAAUUGUUCUAAAUUUAACCUUAAGCUUUCAUUUUCAGAAUUUAGUUUAUCUUGUAUUUCAUCACUAGAGUUUCUUUCUUUUGAAAUUUUCAGAUUUAGUCUCUUAAGAUUUUUAUUCUUUAUAGCUAAUUUUUUACAUUCACCAUACAAAUCAUGAAAAGCAUUUAAUAAUUCAUCAUAAGGGAAUUCUUCUUGAAAAUCAUUUGA
rnacentral:lncRNA from 1 species